rnacentral:rRNA from 1 species
AUUGAACGCUGGCGGCAGGCCUAACACAUGCAAGUCGGGCGAGUGGCGGACGGGUGAGUAAUGCAUGGGGAUCUGGCUGAUGGAGGGGGAUAACUACUGGAAAAGAUAGCUAAUACCGCAUACCAUCGGAUGACCCCGUAUGGGAUUAGCUUGUAGGUAAGGUAACGGCUUACCUAGGCGACGAUCCCUCACUGGUCUGAGAGGAUGAUCAGCCACACUGGGACUGAGACACGGCCCAGACUCCUACGGUAGGCAGCAGUGGGGAAUAUUGCACAAUGGGCGCAAGCCUGAUGCAGCCAUGCCGCGUGAAUGAAGAAGGCCUUCGGGUUGUAAAGUACUUUCAGUCGGGAGGCGUUACCGACAGAAGAAGCACCGGCUAACUCCGUGCCAGCAGCCGCGGUAAUUC